GCUCUUCAGGGGUUAAUUAGUUUUCCAGUGGUUCAAUACCAAAGGGACACUGUUGGCACCCAGACUACUUCAGCUCAUCAAAGUGGUCUGGGUGCAAACUCCCAUCAACCUUAACCCUGCAGUGGUAAAUAUUGCAGUUUUUAUAAACUACAAUAAUUACCUCUGAGGGUUAACUCCUUAGUGGCUGUCUCCCAGACAGCCGCUAGAGGGACUUCCGGAUUUGAAACAGACUUUUGGCUCGUUAUCUGACGCUGGACAUCCUCACAUUCUGCAUGAGGACCUCCAGCAUCUGAUUUUCCCCAUAGGAAAGCAUUGAAUAAUGCUUUUUUAUGGGGAGAUCCUAAUGCGAGAGCAGCCAUUGCCGCGCAUGCGCAUUGUCUCCCCCACUGACGUCCGCAGAGCGUGGGCGAAGCUGAGUCAGUGCCAAGGGACAUUGGCGCUGGACCCAGGUAAGUGACUGAAGGGGUUAUUAACCCCUUCAGUGCCCUGGAAGGGGGCCUUGACAGAGGAGAAAUCUGUAGUGUCAGGAAAACUAGUUUGUUUUCCUGGCACCAUAGUUCCCCUUUAACUUUCUUCCUCUCGCUGCUGGUGUAUGAGGAAGGUUUUGCUAUUGAUGGGCUGAAAGCAUCAGCUGCCCAUUGAGAGAAAUAGUA